rnacentral:piRNA from 1 species
AAUGAAUGAAAGAGUGGAUUCUUGCGUGC